ACUAACUAACAAACUCUAAUGACAUUUUUAGUAAACAGGUACCACAGCUAAGCCUUGGACUAACUAACAAACUCUAAUGACAAUUUUAGUAAACAGGUACCACAGCUAAGCCUUGGACUAACUAACAAACUCUAAUGACAUUUUUAGUAAACAGGUACCACAGCUAAGCCUUGGACUAACUAACAAACUCUAAUGACAUUUUUAAUAAACAGGUACCACAGCUAAGCCUUGGACUAACUAACAAACACUGAUGACAUUUUUAGUAAACAGAUACAACAAGAAUGCAACUAUUUAUUGUGCAUUCAUUUUAGUUUAAAGUACUAAGUUAUCAAUACUAUUACCCAGUUUUAUAGUAUAUAUAAUGCCAGAGUAUAUAUGUUCUGCUCUUAAGAUCCAUGUAUUUCUGUUCAUUUAAAACCUUAUCUUAAAAUAUUGGAUCAAAUCUUCUUCACGUUAGAGACGCGGGAAGACUCCAUUUCUCACGACUGUUGAAUAUAAAUGUCUCGUUCAAUCACCAGGGAAUCCAGAACUCUGUGAAAUCCUGAUUAGCUAUAUUCGAUGUUCCCAUCUGUUACGACUAUAGAUACAUACUUUUUUUCCAGCUUUAGUCAUAUCAUAAGAAAAGUGUCAUCUUUUUAGGGUUUUUUUUCUUCUAUGUGCUACAUAUCUAAUUAAACAACACUCUUUUGAUUAAAAGUCAAGAUUAUAACCUUCGUACAGUACAUCUUAUUUUGAUCAAUGUUUUCAUUUCCUUCAAAUUGGAGACUAUGUUUUAGGACAUUUAGUAGUUGAAUUGAAAGUCAUUUGGUUAUAUGUACAAAAUGUGAAGAUAGCUGAAUAGGAUAGCCAUAUAAUAUAUGUAUAGAAUUAUGUAACUUGUUAGCUAGUUAAGUUUACAGAUAUUAUAAGUCUGGUAAUAUUGAUACAGUAAAAGCAAUACACACGCAUUAAGAUAGUGUCACAGUCUAGACGUAAUAUGUGUAAUUACUUUAUUAACUCCAUGUUUACACGUGAAUUUGAUCUCGGACAGCACCCGUAGAUUAACACCUGUUAAAAUGUGUUAUAGUGUAAACGUGUUUAUGCACACGAUUAAUAUCAUCUGUACAUACAAAUGAAUAUUGUAUUCUGACAGUACAUUCGCAGCACACGAUAGUAAGUGAUACAGAGUUAAUUUAUGUGUAUAAUAGGCAAGUAGUGACAGUUAUAGAGAGUUGAAAGUCCAAGCCAGUGUUCUGUACUGCCUUUGUAUAUCCAUUACUGUGUAUAUCUCAUACGUUUAAUGUGCAUAUAUAUGUAUCCAUGAAUAUACCAACAAAAUAAUUUCAAAACUUUCA